GUCGUGUUCAAGUAAUGAAAGUUUGAUUGUUUCAGAUGUAAGAGAGGUUAUGAUGGGGAACGCUGUGGGAUCCAGCUUCUCGGGACGUCUCGGGACGAGAGCAGCACUGAUCGGAGCCACACCACGCUCGUCAUUAUGGCUGUAGUCCUGUCAGUCAUCAGCUGCCUAGCCAUUCUGCUCAUGGUCUGCGUGCACCAUAGAACACAUCACCGCUUUCAGGCGGCGUUCCUGAGCUCCACUAAUGAAAGAGAGAAACUAGAGAAGAAGAACAUCAUGGUGUGAAGAGGAAGUAAGGCCAAGUCUUUAUUUAUGGGUUGCUAAAUGUAAAAGAGACUUUUAGGGUUGUGUUUGCCAUGUAAAACUCCAGUCCCUUCUUCAGCAUUAAAACAGUCUACAAAACCCCCAUUUUACGCAAUUUAUUGCGGAAUAUAGGCCUAUAGACAUUUUAUGUCAUAAAAUAAAUUGUUUUUGUUUCAGGUAGAAUUCACGCAGAUGUCACUGGUGUGGAGUGCACUGCAGAUAUAUUGCACAUAGAAUAAUAUAAUAAAACCCACUGUAAUAAUAUAUUUAUUGUUUGUACCUAUUUAUUAACUAAUUAUAUAAUUU
rnacentral:lncRNA from 1 species